GACGAACGCUGGCGGCGUGCUUAACACAUGCAAGUCGAGCGGUAAGGCCCUUUCGGGGGUACACGAGCGGCGAACGGGUGAGUAACACGUGGGUGACCUGCCCUCAGCUCUGGGAUAAGCCUGGGAAACUGGGUCUAAUACUGGAUAUGACUCCACGGUGCAUGUCGUGGGGUGGAAAGCCUUGUGCGGCUGAGGAUGGGCCCGCGGCCUAUCAGCUUGUUGGUGGGGUGAGGCCUACCAAGGCGACGACGGGUAGCCGGCCUGAGAGGGCGACCGGCCACACUGGGGACUGAGACACGGCCCAGACUCCUACGGGAGGCAGCAGUGGGGAAUCUUGCGCAAUGGGCGAAAGCCUGACGCAGCGACGCCGCGUGAGGGAUGAC
rnacentral:rRNA from 1 species